rnacentral:rRNA from 1 species
CAGGCUGCAACCCGCCUGCACGAAGUUGGAAUUGCUAGUAAUCGUGGAUCAGCAUGCCACGGUGAAUACGUUCCCGGGUCUUGUACACACCGCCCGUCACACCAUGGGAGUCGGUAACACCCGAAGUCAGUAGUCUAACCGCAAGGAGGACGCUGCCGAAGGUGGGAUUGACGACUGGGGGUGAAGUCGUAACAAGGUACC